rnacentral:rRNA from 1 species
GAUGAACGCUGGCGGCGUGCUUAACACAUGCAAGUCAAACGAUGAAGCCCAGCUUGCUGGGUGGAUUAGUGGCGAACGGGUGAGUAACACGUGAGUAACCUGCCCUUAACUCUGGGAUAAGCCUGGGAAACUGGGUCUAAUACCGGAUAGGAGCGUCCACCGCAUGGUGGGUGUUGGAAAGAUUUAUCGGUUUUGGAUGGACUCGCGGCCUAUCAGCUUGUUGGUGAGGUAAUGGCUCACCAAGGCGACGACGGGUAGCCGGCCUGAGAGGGUGACCGGCCACACUGGGACUGAGACACGGCCCAGACUCCUACGGGAGGCAGCAGUGGGGAAUAUUGCACAAUGGGCGCAAGCCUGAUGCAGCGACGCCGCGUGAGGGAUGACGGCCUUCGGGUUGUAAACCUCUUUCAGUAGGGAAGAAGCGAAAGUGACGGUACCUGCAGAAGAAGCACCGGCUAACUACGUG